rnacentral:rRNA from 1 species
UACGUAGGGUGCAAGCGUUAAUCGGAAUUACUGGGCGUAAAGCGUGCGCAGGCGGUUUUGUAAGCCAGAUGUGAAAUCCCCGGGCUUAACCUGGGAAUGGCAUUUGGGACUGCAAGGCUGGAGUGUGGCAGAGGAGACUGGAAUUCCCGGUGUAGCAGUGAAAUGCGUAGAUAUCGGGAGGAAUACCGAUGGCGAAGGCAGGUCUCUGGGCUGACACUGACGCUCAUGCACGAAAGCGUGGGGAGCAAACAGG